rnacentral:rRNA from 1 species
AUGGCGUGGAUCUGGAUGCUCUUGGUGGCUGGAGCCGUCCUCCUUUGGGCGGUUUCCCUUGGGCGGAUCCUCUCCUCCCCGACGCCCUACUCCCUGCCUCCAAGCCCUCGCUUCCUGCCCCCUCUUGGCGACAGGAGGAGCAGGAACGUGCUCCUGGUGCUCGCCCACCCUGAUGACGAGUCCAUGUUUUUCACUCCAACUAUUCUUUUCCUCAAGUCAAAAGGCCACAGCAUUCAUGUUUUGUGUAUGUCUCUGGGUAAUGCUGAUGGUCUUGGAGAUACUCGUAAACAAGAACUGUAUGAUGCAUGUGCAACUCUUAAGAUUCCAGCUGAGCAAGUUGCAGUCUUGGACCAUCAAAAGUUGCAGGAUGGGUUUCAUGAGAAAUGGGAUCAUGGACUAUUAGCCGAACUUACCAUGGAGCAGAUCCAGCUGUGGGAUAUCGACACAAUUGUGACGUUUGAUUCCUAUGGAGUAUCAGGCCAUCCGAAUCAUCGUGAUGUUCAUCAUGGCAUAUGCAAACUUCUUCAUGAGAAUCAGCGAGGAAAUAUUGAAGCAUGGGAACUUGUAAGCCUGAAUAUGUUUCGCAAAUACAGUGGUGCAGUUGACAUUUGGUUGUCAUCUUUGAUCUCCUCAAGUUCAAAGCAACUGAUGUAUUGCUUAGUUAACUGUAGCCCAUCCAGAACCUUUGAGGCAAUGGCUGCACACAGAAGUCAGUGGGUUUGGUUCAGAAGAUUGUUUGUUAGGCUCUCAAGUUACACAUACGUAAACAUGCUCCAGAAAAUUUAG